rnacentral:rRNA from 1 species
GACGAACGCUGGCGGCGUGCUUAACACAUGCAAGUCGAACGGAAAGGCCCUGCUUUUGUGGGGUGCUCGAGUGGCGAACGGGUGAGUAACACGUGAGUAACCUGCCCUUGACUUUGGGAUAACUUCAGGAAACUGGGGCUAAUACCGGAUAGGAGCUCCUGCUGCAUGGUGGGGGGUGGAACGUUUCGGCGGUUGGGGAUGGACUCGCGGCUUAUCAGCUUGUUGGUGGGGUAGUGGCUUACCAAGGCUUUGACGGGUAGCCGGCCUGUGAGGGUGACCGGCCACAUUGGGACUGAGAUACGGCCCAGACUCCUACGGGAGGCAGCAGUGGGGAAUAUUGCACAAUGGGCGGAAGCCUGAUGCAGCAACGCCGCGUGCGGGAUGACGGCCUUCGGGGUGUAAACCGCUUUCGCCUGUGACGAAGCGUGAGUGACGGUAAUGGGUAAAGAAGCACCGGCUAACUACGUG